CUGCCGUGAUGGGAACAUUUUUCGUCAACAGCAUCUCACCCCGCGGUGAAUGGUGACUCCUGUGGGCUGAGCAG